UGAUACAAGUUUUCCAGUCAACGCUUCUGCAAAAACAGAGCCUGAGAAGAAGACACUGAUCCUCACAAUGUUGUGCUCCUCUCAAACGCCACUUCAGUGUGAAAAAAAUGAAACUCAGGCUGAUCUAUUAAAAGAGCUGGACAAAACAUUUUAUAAGAAAUUUGAAGACUCGGUCCACUGGAAGCUGAAGUGGGUGGAGAGAAAGGUGAACAAUCCUUAAAAGCUAAUUUUUUGUAUGCCAUACAAGAUUCUGCUCCAUUUUAAGUUGAAAUGACUUGAUUUGAUUAUACUUAAAAACUUAAGACAGCAAGUUGACUUUUUUUUAUACACUCUAAAAAAUAAAACAUUGGUUCAACAAAAAAAAAUAUGUUAACGUUUCCACUAGAAUUUUUAACUUAAGCCAAUUGGGAGAAUUACAUUAAUU